AGGCCUAACACAUGCAAGUCGAACGGUAACAGGAAGAAGCUUGCUUCUUCGCUGACGAGUGGCGGACGGGUGAGUAAUGUCUGGGAAACUGCCUGAUGGAGGGGGAUAACUACUGGAAACGGUAGCUAAUACCGCAUAACGUCGCAAGACCAAAGAGGGGGACCUUCGGGCCUCUUGCCAUCGGAUGUGCCCAGAUGGGAUUAGCUAGUAGGUGGGGUAAAGGCUCACCUAGGCGACGAUCCCUAGCUGGUCUGAGAGGAUGACCAGCCACACUGGAACUGAGACACGGUCCAGACUCCUACGGGAGGCAGCAGUGGGGAAUAUUGCACAAUGGGCGCAAGCCUGAUGCAGCCAUGCCGCGUGUAUGAAGAAGGCCUUCGGGUUGUAAAGUACUUUCAGCGGGGAGGAAGGGAGUAAAGUUAAUACCUUUGCUCAUUGACGUUACCCGCAGAAGAAGCACCGGCUAACUCCGUGCCAGCAGCCGCGGUAAUACGGAGGGUGCAAGCGUUAAUCGGAAUUACUGGGCGUAAAGCGCACGCAGGCGGUUUGUUAAGUCAGAUGUGAAAUCCCCGGGCUCAACCUGGGAACUGCAUCUGAUACUGGCAAGCUUGAGUCUCGUAGAGGGGGGUAGAAUUCCAGGUGUAGCGGUGAAAUGCGUAGAGAUCUGGAGGAAUACCGGUGGCGAAGGCGGCCCCCUGGACGAAGACUGACGCUCAGGUGCGAAAGCGUGGGGAGCAAAACAGGAUUAGAUACCCUGGUAGUCCACGCCGUAAACGAUGUCGACUUGGAGGUUGUGCCCUUGAGGCGUGGCUUCCGGAGCUAACGCGUUAAGUCGACCGCCUGGGGAGUACGGCCGCAAGGUUAAAACUCAAAUGAAUUGACGGGGGCCCGCACAAGCGGUGGAGCAUGUGGUUUAAUUCGAUGCAACGCGAAGAACCUUACCUGGUCUUGACAUCCACAGAACUUUCCAGAGAUGGAUUGGUGCCUUCGGGAACUGUGAGACAGGUGCUGCAUGGCUGUCGUCAGCUCGUGUUGUGAAAUGUUGGGUUAAGUCCCGCAACGAGCGCAACCCUUAUCCUUUGUUGCCAGCGGUCCGGCCGGGAACUCAAAGGAGACUGCCAGUGAUAAACUGGAGGAAGGUGGGGAUGACGUCAAGUCAUCAUGGCCCUUACGACCAGGGCUACACACGUGCUACAAUGGCGCAUACAAAGAGAAGCGACCUCGCGAGAGCAAGCGGACCUCAUAAAGUGCGUCGUAGUCCGGAUUGGAGUCUGCAACUCGACUCCAUGAAGUCGGAAUCGCUAGUAAUCGUGGAUCAGAAUGCCACGGUGAAUACGUUCCCGGGCCUUGUACACACCGCCCGUCACACCAUGGGAGUGGGUUGCAAAAGAAGUAGGUAGCUUAACCUUCGGGAGGGCGCUUACCACUUUGUGAUUCAUGACUGGGGUGAAGA
rnacentral:rRNA from 1 species